rnacentral:rRNA from 1 species
AUUGAACGCUGGCGGCAGGCCUAACACAUGCAAGUCGAGCGAGCGGCGGACGGGUGAGUAAUGUCUGGGAAACUGCCUGAUGGAGGGGGAUAACUACUGGAAACGGUAGCUAAUACCGCAUACCAUCAGAUGUGCCCCGAUGGGAUUAGCUAGGUGGUGGGGUAAAGGCCUACCAAGGCGAAGAUCUGUAGCGGGUGUGAGAGGAUGAUCCGCCACACUGGGACUGAGACACGGCCCAGACUCCUACGGGAGGCAGCAGGGGGGAAUAUUGGACAAUGGGGGGAAACCUGACCGAGCAAUGCCGCGUGUGUGAAGAAGGCCUUCUGGUUGUAAAGCACUUUAAGCGAGGAGGCGGUACCCGCAGAAGAAGCACCGGCUAACUCCGUGCCAGCAGCCGCGGUAAUUC